GGUAGCGGUGGUCAGUUUUCUCUGUCACAUAGAGCCAUUCAUCCUCUUCUCGUGGUGGUUGGGCGAGCAGCGAAUCGCCAUGGAUGGGCUCAAGUUCUGGUUCUUCUUCGAGGAAGCCGAAUCAGGAUUGGGUCCCUAGGGUGGAUGUACGGGAUAUUUUGGGUGGCGAAGCAGCUAUAUUGUCGAGUCCGUUGUUGAUUCCAUCCAUGAAGCUCGCGCGCGCUCAGCAGAUCCCAUAGCCGGCAGUGGCGGCGAACUGCAGGACCGAGAGGAGGACAAGAAUGUCGAUUCGUACAAUGGUACUAGCGGGUCGUCGGUGACUCAAACGACAUGGCUCCUGAGAAUAUGACCAAUGCAACGAUGAAAGAGGAUGGAGAUGCGGAGGGUGUCGUCGUCAACAACUCCAAGGGCUCCUGCUGGACUCGGCAGUAACAAUCAAACAAUCAUGCACAAAAAUUAUUAUUCUCGUCUUGCCAUUGAUUCUAUUAGUCUAUAAUGUUCAGCUAGUGAAUGCCCCCUGCUAGGUCGCACUUUUAAUACUGAGACCAAUGUUCAGUUAGUGGAUGCCCCCUACUAGGUUGCACUUUUAGUACUGAGAAUGAUUCAGGUGAGUUUUAAGAGUUUGAUCUGUCCGUAUAUGUCUGCACCAGUAUACAAUACAUCUUACACAUUUUUUGGAAAAAAAUUGCAGUAUUUGAUAUCGGCAGUGUGCCAAAUGAGUUUUUUCCAAUACCACUGAUUCUAUAGUUUUCAGUCUUGCUGCACUAGCCUUGAAGAUUGCAUUAUAUUUUUGGGAUUGUUAAGUUAAUGUUAAAUUGCAGUAUUUGACAGUGGCACUGUGCCAGAUGAGUUUUUUCCCAAUACGACUGAUUCUAUAGUUUUCUGUCUUGGUGCACUAGCCUUGAAGAUCGCAUUAUAUUUUUGGGAUUGUUAAGCUAAUGUUUAAUCUGUGCCGUAUAGGGGGCUGUGCAGUGAUCUCUUGUUUUUUCACACUGCAGUAUUAGGGUUGGCAAAUCGUCAGAGGAGAGGGAUGCCGACCCAUGCAGAAUGCAUGCGCUUGAGGCUUCGAUGCGGGCUUAUGCAGGCAAGAAGGCUGGUAUUGUUGUUAAUCCAGCAAUCGGGGCCAGUUUUGAUUCAGUCGAAAAAGCAUACGAGUUUUGCAAUCUACACUCGUGGGAGAAUUAAUGGCUUUGGCGUCAGGUAUGCCAAAAGCCGCCUCAACAUUCACCGAUAAAGUGUGUGCAAGAAUUUGUGUGUGCUUGUGCAGGGAAUCUAUUGAAAUCCAACAGUCAUUCAACGAGGUGUGGCUGCACUACAUUGAUGCGGAUUUUUAGGUCUGAUGACAAAGGAUGGUACAUAUGCGAACACAAAUCAAAGCACAACCAUGAGCUUUCAGUUAAUUGUAUGGAAAAUUUGCAUUGGAAGUCGCACCGGCACAUCGAUAGAUACACGAGGGUCUUGGUGAAGCAGCUGAGAGAAAACAACAUAAGCCUAAGCAAGGUUUACAGUGUUGUUAGAAAUUUUUUUGGAUCUGUGAAGGAGGUACCAUUCACGAAAAGAUCUUUGAAAAAUCUUUGUGAAAAACUUAAUAGAGAACGGUCGAAAAAUGAUGCCACAAAAACCAUAGAGGUAUUCAACGCAACGCGGGCUGAAGAUCCUGAGUUCAAAUGUAGUGUAUAGGUUGAUGACGAUGGCCGAGUAAAAACUCUGAUGUGGAUAACAGGGUGAAGCAUUGAGCAGUUUAUGUGCUUUGGUUAUGCUGUCACAUUUGAUACCAUGUACAAAACUAAUUUGUAUGAUAUGCCGUUUGGCCUUUUUGUUGGUGUCAACAAUCACUUCCAAAGCAUUAUUUUUGGGGGGUUGCUGAUGAGCGAUGCGAAAAUUGACACUUUCAAGUGGAUAUUUACCGAGUUUUUCCAGAAGAUAGGAGCUCCUCAGC